AAAAUGAAACUGAGAACUAAUCUCCUCUAAAUGAAGUGUUCAUUUACUUUUUUCUUUUUUAAAUGCUGUUCAGUGCAGGAAGACAUGCAGAUUGAGAAGCCUAAACAAGGAGAAGCAUUUCUUCAAAAUAUAGAUAGCACUUGGGAAAAGAGAAGAUAUUUAGUCCUUCUGAGGAGUAAGCAAGAUAUCAAAAGCACAUUUUUCUUUUUCCAGUGACUAUAGAGACAGCCAAAACUAGCACAACUUUUAAAUGAACCAUGUCUUUUGGAUACUAGAGGAUCAGUGGGAUAAAACCUGGCCACUGUGAUUUGUUUCUUAAUUUGUACAAGGGGGAUGCCACAGCAUUUUAUACAGGCUGGCUAUGAGGGUUUCAAGCAGGCCUGGAACAGG